UGGGUCAAAUGGUAUUUAUAGUUAAUCUUAGGGGGAGUUAUUGUCGAGGUUGGUCUCGAACUCCUGGCCUCAAGCAAUCCUCUUGCCUCACGGAGUUUUCCAAAUGUUCUGUAUGAGCAUGUAUUAUAUCAUGCUCAGAGAAUGUAACAUUUUGAAAUUACUAAAAAUGGUAACAGUUACACUUUCUAACAACUACUACAUUCUCAUAUUUUUAUGAAGUAAGAACACAGUUAUCCUCAUUUUACAGAGGAAAAGCUGAGGCUCAGACAAGAGAUCUCUGCAGGGACACAUAUCUACUAAGUGGCUGAAUCAUGAGUCGACUCAGAUCUGUUUGAUUCCAGAAGCUAAGGCCUGACUGAACACCUGACAUUGUCGUGAAUUUAAAAAAAAAAAAAAAAAGGAAGUAGAUUUUAAAGAGAAGUGCUCAUUAAGUUUAGUCUUGUGAGUCAUAAGUUUGAAGCACUGAAGAGAUGACUGGGGAUGUCUUUUGAACAGGUUAAACAUUGACUGGAGGCUCAGGAGCUCCUCUUUGGAGGUGUUGAUUUGAGAAUUGUUCAGAGAUGUCAAUGAAGCAACAGCAACAGAGGAGACCAUCCGGGAGUAGUUUAGAGAUUGUGAAUAGAAGGAUAUUGCCAAAGACCACUCAGUAAGGAAAGGAGAGUCACAGGAGAGAUGCAGGUAACCUGGAAACUGAGGGAGAGAGGACUUUCAGAUCACUGAGCAUGAUCAAGUGGCAUAAAAUGGCCUUUAGGCAGAGUCUUAUGAUGAGUUUGACAUGAGAAUAUUUAUAGCAUAAACUAGCCUGAACACAGUCAAGGUAGGAAGUAUAAAAUGCCCUUUCAAGAAUGGAAUUGAUGAGGAAUUGGUGAGGGAAAGAUUGUAGUUCAAAAUGAUGGAGACAGGGGAAGGGAUUUUCCCCUUGCAGAAGGCUUGACUCCACUUUUAGGCUGAAUGGAAGGAGUAGGAGGGACAGAAGAGUCAGGAUAGAGAGAAAACAACCCGAAGAACAAGUUCCUUGAGGAAAUGGAAAGGGAUGCCACACACAGGUAAGGGUUUGCUCUAAAGUGCUCCUCAAAGUUAACAGUCCAGUUAUAGACACUGUUGCUGCAAAACAAACCACACCAUAUGCAAAAUGUAAAGUAAAACAAUCACCAUCUUAUGCACGCUGCUUCUGUGGGUCAGAAAUUGGACAGAGCACAGUGGGGAUGGCUUUUCUCUGCUCCACAGUGUCUGGGGUCUAAUUUAGAAAGACUCAAAUAGUUAUGGGUGACUCAAAUGUCAGGGGGCUGGAAUCACCCAGGGUCUUUCACUCAUGUGGCCGAUGCCCGGGCUGGGAUGAUUUUAAGGCUGGGCUCAGCAGGGUCGAUUCUUUGAGCACUCAUGCAUGGCCUGUGCAUGUGCCUUGGGCCUCCUACGGCACGGCAGCAGCAUUUUGAGAGGAAGCAAUAAUCCUUAUGGUAUCAUCACUCCUAUUGUGUUGAAAAGAGUCCUAAACCUCAGGAAAUUCAUGUCACUUGUUCAGUGUCAUAGAGCUUUACAGUGUGCUCUCAAUUUUGCCUAAAAAAUACAUUCAUAUCACAUAUAGAAAAAAUUCUGGGAGAAUACACAUGAAAAUUUUAGAAGUAGUCAUAUUUGAAUAGUGUAAUUUUUAUUUCCUUUUAGAUUUUCUCUGUUUUGUUUUUAUGUUUUAGCAAUGAUUAUGCAUGGCUCAUACAUUAAAAGUUUUGUUUUUACUUUCUAGAUGAAGCCUUCUGUAAGCAGUCUAAUAACCCCUUGGACUUAGUUGUUUUCAGGACAAGCCCAGGGGUGGCAUCUCCCGGAUGGAAAUACAAACCAAACAUCUGCCAGGCAUGUACCAAGGGUUCCAUACUUGACGUCAUCUUAUCUUGGAGAAGAGAUUCUCACACUAUGGGACUGACUCAGACAUCAUGCCUCUUCAGCCAGGCAGAGGAACUGACAUUCCCUAAGGACAGCUGCCGACACACUGCCAGGGUGGGGCUUGCACUUGCAUUUUCCCCAUCUCCGAGCUGUCCCUGGGAAGAGUCCAAGGGUUGUCUUUACAGGCCGUGAGAAAUAUGCAUCUGGAAAUAUCAAUUUCUAAGAAAGGGUCCCUCCUUCUGGAUUGAUAAGGGUGGGAACAUUCAAGCUACCGAUAAGACCUCUGCACCCAGCUCCUGUCCCUCCACUCCCUACGGCUCAGCUUUGAAGUUCCAAAAACCCUGCCUCUGUGACCUGAUUGUGUUAUCUUCAUAACCAAGAAACACAAGGCUUCGGUGGAGAGUGAACAAAAUCAGAGCUUUCUUCACAAAGGAAAAGAGUGAGGAAUGAAUGAAGUUGACAACCCAGUGACAUCUGCAAUUCCCUUGUGACUUUUUACUUGCCAGACUCACUCUUCUCCUAAGUAGCACAAAGGAAUUGUUGCUUACGGUAGAUCUAGGUAAAAACUGGCUGGAUUUUUGGAGGAGUUACCAGGUCAUCUGUAGCUGGCCUUUCUCUAUGCAGACCCAAUACCACCUAGAUCCUUCUGCUCACCGUGGGCUAGUGCUGUGAAUUCAUUCAUUCACUCAUGGAAGCAUGUUGAUUUCUAUCACCUACCAGCCCAUCAAGUAGGUGCUAGGGAUAUAGCAAAUAAGCCACAGAUCCUAUCCUCAAGUGCCUCUGUUAUUGCUCAGUCUCAUUUGUUUUUUCUUCCAAAAUAUGAGAUAGGCAGAGAAGAUGUUCCUUUUGUACAGAAAAUGAUAUUGAGUUAUGAAUUAGCAAUGUGAUAUUCCUGCUAACACAGAAGCUCACCUCAGAAAGAAAUGGUCAGAAAUGUAAACAGCCAACUCUAAGCCUAAUUCUCAUUCCAGUCAGCUGCAGACCAUGACCCCACUAGAGACCUAUUCCAUGGGACAAGGUAGCAAAUGAGGCAAAACACUAG
rnacentral:lncRNA from 1 species